rnacentral:rRNA from 1 species
UUCCCNUANACGCNACGGCAUCCCUAACCAUGCANGUCGAGGGGUAAUCACGCUUUCGGGCGUGAACGACCGGCGCACGGGUGCGUAACGCGUAUGCAACCUACCUUUAACUGGGGAAUAGCCCGGAGAAAUUCGGAUUAAUACCCCAUAACAUUUCGAAAUCACAUGGUUUUGAGAUUAAAGCUCCGGCGGUUAAAGAUGGGCAUGCNUGACAUUAGCUAGUUGGNGAGGUAACUGCUCACCAAGGCUACGAUGUCUAGGGGGUCUGAGAGGAUGAUCCCCCACACUGGUACUGAGACACGGACCANACUCCUACGGGAGGCAGCAAGUGAGGAAUAUUGGGCAAUGGACGCAAGUCUGACCCAGCCAUGCCGCGUGCAGGAUGAAUGCCCUAUGGGUUGUAAACUGCUUUUAUNNGGGAAGAAACCCUCCUCGUGAGCGGGGCUGACGGUCCAAAAAAUAAGCAUCGGCUACUCCGUGCCANCANCCGCGGUAAUCCGANGAUGCAAGCGUUUCCGGAUUUAUUGGUUUAANGGGGCCAGGCNGGAAUUAANUCANNGGNAAAUCUNACUUACUGCAAACUGCUUGAACUGAUUU